GUGAGGGAAGGAGGCGCCGCGGCGGGGCCGGGCCGGCCCUGGGACGUCCGCGCUCUCCUCCUCCUCCGCGCCCGCGGCGGCGGCGUGCAGCCGGCAGGGCGAGAACAAGGGAGGGCGGCGGGAGGUGGGCAGGGGAGGGGGGCGGUCUGCACUCCGAAACGGCCCCCCCGCCGCCAGCGACGUAGAGAACCCCCCUCCCCUCCGCGGCGGCGCCCGAUCACGCUGCGGGGAGAGCCGGCAGGCAGGCGGGGGAGCGCGCGCGGGCUCAGGACUCCCGCGCCGGAUGUGAGGUCACGUGGUGGCUUCAUCCCCGCGCGGAGGGCGGAGGGGCGCGGGCGACGUCAGGAGGCGGGGAAGGGGCGGGGAGGGGCGGGGCGAUUUAUAGGCCCCGCCCACCCAUCGCCUUUGCCACCCUCGAACGGGCAAAAGAAAGAAAGAGGCAGGUAAGGGGAGGCGAGGCCGUCCAAAAACGCUGGGUGUCAGCCCGGGGUGGCUAAUGGAGGGCGGCUUUUCUGGUGGGAUGAAAUGGAACGGCAAAUCCCACUUCAUCCCCUUUGGGCUAUGACAACAUCAUAGUCCAAUCUCCCAUUUUAUGAACAGGGAAACUGAGGCUCAGUGACUAGACAGACGUUGCCCAGAGUCAUGGUCAUGGAGGAAGCUUGUGCUAGAAUGGUGGAGAGGAAACCAGAGCCCAGCUCCUAAUGCAAGGCUCUUUCAUUCCUUUAGCCACCCUCGCCCCCGCCAAAACAAACAGACAAAAAACUGUCAUUCUCAUAUGACCACGGACUCUGCGCCCCGGCCGCAGGCGGAGGACAGGGAGGAGCGCACACGAGAAAGCUCCCACGCGCCCGCGCCUCGCCUCCGACGGGAAGGCGCCUCUUCCGACCGUCCUGGAUGCAAAUUAAAUACUUCCCUCCGCAGAAGACUUAUCUCGGGGUAGGGCCGCAGCCGGAUUUCCAAAUCGCGGGUUUGAUUUUCGCUGCGUCCUCUCCGCGACGCGCGCAGGGAGCGCGCCCGGCCACCUGCAGCCUCUGGCUGCGGCCAUCUUUCCGCCUGGGGCCACCUGGCCUGCGCCCUUUGUGCCCGGCCCGCUCCGUGACUGUUCUUCUUGCCGCUACUUACAGAACUCAGCCGCCUUAGCGUCUUAGAGAAGAGGACGGCAUGCAUGCGGACCCCGUCCACCACACCUGGAGAGCAGGGAGCCCUUAGUCCCUGGACACUUACCAGGGCCGCCACCCCUGGUCCACGCACGUGAUGACAUCUCACCAGGGGCAGCACACCGCCCGAGUCCGCGACACUGAUAACACCUCCUGCGGGCAGGAGGGCGCCACAGCCACCCCUGGUCCCCUAGAUUGUGUGAGGCUAGCAUUUCUGCCCGCCUCUUGGCGUGGACAGCACGCUGGACCGAGAUGGAACCACAGCUUUCUCUUCCCAAUCCCUGGCCUCACCGUUUUGUUUCAUACCUCACCGUUUGUUUCAAACCUCGUGGUGUUGAAAUGAUUAAAUGAGAUUAAGGGGCAUUCCUCAGGCCUUAUCUCUCUGGUUCUUUCUGCUACAUUUGACACCUUGGGAUGACUCUCACCUUCUGGAAUCUCUCUACUACCUUGGUUUCAGAAGAGUGAACCCUCUGGAUUAUCACAUGAAGCUACUUCCUGUGAGCAGCCCAGGGAUGGCCAGUCACUUGUGACCUACUUUCAGAGCUGGCAGUUCUGACUUCUAGAACAAACUCGGAACAAGCCCAUCUACAGCUGGUUGACUGAGUUUCCUUUGGGCUCCUGGCACCAGAAAGAAUUGCUCACUGGAAGGAUCAUAGGUGGCACUCAUGUCUCACUGCCCCACUCAGCUUGCCUGUGUGGACUCCUGCCUGCUCUCUGUGCCAGGAUCCCGUGACAUGAAACAGAAUAAGUGCUUCAUAAACGGGAGUGACACUAGGCGUGGUGGCAUGCAUCUGGAGUCCUAGCUACGCGGGAGGCUGAGGCAGGAGGAUUGCCUGAGCCUAGGAGUUGGAGGCUCUAAUGCACUUGGAUAGCACCUAUGAAUAGCCAGUGCCCUCCAACCUGGGCAACAUAGUGAGCUCUUGUCACCAAAAAAAAAAAAAAAAAAGCUAGAAGAGAAUAAUUUGAAUAUUUCUAGCACAAAGAAAAGACAAAUAUUUAAGAUAAUGGAUAGCCCAGUUACACAGAUUUGAUCUUUACAAAUUAUAUGAAUGUAUUAAAUUAUCAUGGCUGGGUGCAGUGGCUCACACUUGUAAUCCCAGCACUUUUGGAGGCUGAGGUGGGUGGAUCAUCUGCGGUCAGGAGUUCCAGACCAGCCUGGCAAACACGGCAAACAUGUACUAAAAAUACAAAAAAUUAGCCAAGUGUGGUGGCAGGCACCUGUAAUCCCAGCAACUCAGGAGGCCGAGGCGGGAGAAUUGCUUGAACCUGGGAGGCAGAGUGCUUGCAGUGAGCCGAGACCGCACCACUGCUUUGUAGCCUGGGCAACAGAGUGAGAUGCCAUUUCAAUAAUAAUAAUAAACUAUCACAUGUAACCCCCAAAUAUGUACAUCAUUGUGUAUCAAUAAAAAUAAAUAAAUGUGAAUAAAUGACUGAGAGUAUGAAUAAUGCCAUCCCUCCAGCGCCCUUGCACUGUGGUUCUCCAGCACCUGCUACUUAGGUUUCUUCAGAUACCAGCUGCUCUGGGAGCUAUACCUUGUUUCAGGAUCUCAGUCACUGCCUUCAGCAGCCCACUAUCUGAUCCAAGCAGCCAUGGAUUCUCUUUUGUAUCCAGUCACUCCUGUACCCUCUUCCCUUUUAGGUUUUGCUACUGUCUUCAAACUUGCUUUGAAGAUUUGAGCUCCUGUGUCACCAGGUCACCCUCAGAGGCAUCAGGACAUGCUCUUCAAGUAAAGUCCAAAUGAGGGAUUAGACACUCUGGGCUUCAUUUCUCAGUGUCCUCUCUCAAGAGCUAGACUAUUACUUGCAUUUCUCAUCUCCUUGAAUCAUCAGCGCCUGGUGCUAUCAUUUAAAAUAGGGAAAGUUAUGAACUGGGUUAAAUUUUUUUUUUUUUUUUGAGAUAGAAUGUCACUUUGUUGCCCAGGCUAAAGUACAGUGGUGCAAUCUUGGUUCACUGCAACCUCCACCUCCCGAGUUCAAGCAAUUCUCCUGCCUCAGCCUCCCAAGUAGCUGGGAUUACAGGUGUUCACCACCAUGCCUGGCUAGUUUUUGUGCUUUUAGUAGAGACAGGGUUUCACCAUGUUGGCCAGGCUGGUCUCGAACUUAUGACCUCAAGUGAUCUGCCCGCCUCAGCCUCCCAAAGUGCUGGGAUUACAGGCGUGAGCCACCACACCCGGCCUCAAAAAAUAUUUUUUUAGAAAGAAAAAAGAAAGAAACAAAAACAAAUAAAAUAGGGAAAGAUGAUUAGUAAGUCUCUUCCUUUCCAGGGCCUUAGUUUUCCUACCUGUAAAAUACAGAGCAUGGUAUUUUUGGAGUCCAUGAAUCCACCAAGCACAGUAUCAUCUUUGCAUGGUGCUUUAAAGUAUAUAAAACAUUUUAGACAAACAAGAUCUUAUUUAACAAAAAAAUGCCCAAUAAAUGUUUGCUAACAGAAAUGAUAAUGCUGAUUCUGUGUGAGCUGAAAGAAGCCUGUUGAAGGUGAAUGUGUCGUCUAUCAUUAAGUCUGAGGACCAAUUAAAGUUAAAACAAGUAUGAGUCACUAAAUGUUAGAAUUAAUUUUGAAUCCCUUAGUUUAAUUCCUACAUGUUGUCAAUGCCUGAGGGAAAUGGUCUAGCCACAGGUGCCAGCUCAUAAGAAACGGGAAGGCCAGGUACGGUGGCUCACACCUGCCAUCCCAUCAUUUUGGGAGGCUGAGGCCAGCAGAUCAUUUGAGGCCAGGAGUUUGAGACCAGCCUGUGCAAUGUAGGGAGAUCUCUACAAAAAAGUAAUUAGCCAGACAUGGUGGUAUGCACCUGCAGUCCCCGCUGUUUGAGAGGCUGAGGCAGGAGGAUCACAUGAGCCUAGAAGUUCGAGGCCGCAGUGAGCUAUGAAUGCACCAUUGCACUCCAGCCUGAGCAAUAGAGUGAGACCUUGCCUCAAAAAUUAAAAAAUAAAAUAAAUAUAAAAAUAAAACAAGAGAGAGAGGGCACCGUCUCUGUGGUACUAUUUGGCUGUGUUACAUAACUGGCAUUUUAUUUGGAAAAAAAAAAUGUCCUCCAAGGGGUUCAUUUCCUCAGAUCAAAUGUCAUUCCAGGUGUUGGUAUGCAUUCGACGCGUGCAUUCUUCAGCCCUGGUUAUUCUGUUUUAUUUUAUGUAAAACUCUAUUUCAAAAUACAG
rnacentral:lncRNA from 10 species